CAGCAGCCGCGGUAAUACGAAGGGUGCAAGCGUUACUCGGAAUUACUGGGCGUAAAGCGUGCGUAGGUGGUGGUUUAAGUCCGUUGUGAAAGCCCUGGCUCAACCUGGGAAUGGCAGUGGAUACUGGCAAGCUAGAGUGUGUCAGAGGAUGGUGGAAUUCCCGGUGUAGCGGUGAAAUGCGUAGAGAUCGGGAGGAACAUCAGUGGCGAAGGCGGCCAUCUGGGACAACACUGACGCUGAGGCACGAAAGCGUGGGGAGCAAACAGGAUUAGAUACCCCAGUAGUCCCUGUCUCUUAUACA
rnacentral:rRNA from 1 species